UACGUAGGUGGCAAGCGUUGUCCGGAUUUACUGGGCGUAAAGGGCGUGCAGGCGGUUUGUUAAGUUCAGGGUGAAAGCUCCCGGCUCAACUGGGAGAGGUCCUUGGAUACUGGCAGACUUGAGGAGGGUAGAGGAGAGUGGAAUUCCCGGUGGUAGUGGUGAUAUGCGUAGAUAUCGGGAGGAACACCAGUGGCGAAGGCGGCUCUCUGGGCCCUACCUGACGCUGAGACGCGAAAGCGUGGGGAGCGAACCGGG
rnacentral:rRNA from 1 species